rnacentral:rRNA from 1 species
AUUGAACGCUGGCGGCAGGACUAACACAUGCAAGGCGGGCGAGCUGCGGACUGGUGAGUAGUGUAUGGGGAUCUGCCUGAUGUCGGGGAAUCACUGCGGGAAACUGUAUCUAAUACCGCAUACCAUGAGAUGAAGCCAUAUGCGUUUGGCUAGUAGGUAAGGUAAAGGCUCACCUAGGCUACGAUCCCUUGCUGGUCUGAGAGGAUGAUCAGCCACACUGGGACUGAGACACGGUCCAGCUCCCUACGGCAGGCAGCAGUGGGGAAUAUUGCACAAUGGGAGCAAGCCCGAUGCAGCCAUGCGGCGUGUAUGAAGAAGGCCUUCGGGUUGUAAAGUACUGUCAGUCGGGAGGCGUUACCGCCAUAAGAAGCACCGGCUAACUCCGUGCCAGCAGCCGCGGUAAUUC